rnacentral:rRNA from 1 species
CCUACGGGUGGCUGCAGUUUCGAAUCAUUCACAAUGGGCGAAAGCCUGAUGGUGCGACGCCGCGUGAGGGAUGAAGGUCUUCGGAUUGUAAACCUCUGUCACUGGGGAGAAAACGCUGAAUCCUAAUACGGUUCAGCCUGAUUUAACCCGGAGAGGAAGCAGUGGCUAACUCUGUGCCAGCAGCCGCGGUAAUACAGAGACUGCAAGCGUUAUUCGGAUUCACUGGGCGUAAAGGGUGCGCAGGCGGUUAGGUGUGUCAGGUGUGAAAUCCCGAGGCUCAACCUCGGAACUGCGCCUGAAACUACAUGGCUAGAGUACUGGAGAGGGUAACGGAAUUCACGGUGUAGCAGUGAAAUGCGUAGAUAUCGUGAGGAACACCAGAGGCGAAGGCGGUUACCUGGACAGUUACUGACGCUCAGGCACGAAAGCGUGGGGAGCAAAAGGGAUUAGAUACCCUGGUAGUC